GCAUUGGCUGUUCAGUGGUAGAAUUCUUGCCUUCCAUGUAAGAGACCUGGGUUUGAUUUCUAGCCAAUACA
rnacentral:tRNA from 1 species